rnacentral:lncRNA from 1 species
CACUGAAAAGCCUUUUUUAUUUUCUUUAGAACAAUGUGAAAUUUGAAUCAUAAAGUAAAUUUUAACAUAUGCUGUCAUUUACUUUUGUAUAUUCUGUACUACAUUUUCAAAGUUCCAUCUAGAAUUUCUAAAAUGCUUCAUUUUUCCAGUUAUAAACCCAAAAUACUAGAGCUUCUAAAAUUCAAACUAAAUAGGCUUUAAUGUACUAAAUUGGUUAACCAUAUCCACCAUUACUUUGUUAUUUAUUAACAUUUAUUUGUUGAAAUUUUACAGUGAACAUUAUUUUAUUUAGUAUUACGCACACUUUGUGGGAUCAAGCAUAUCAAAAUUUUAACACUUUUAUUCCCCACUAAUUCAAAAGCACUUACAGAGUUCCUGCUUCAUGCAGGGUAAUACACUUGAGGCCUUGGGGCAAAUCAAAAUGAGAGAGCUUGUCCCUGCUUUCCAGAAAUUCACAUGGAUGGAAAUACCCAUUCAAGAAUGAGCUCCAAGGCAGAUUGGUCAAUACAGAUCUGAAGUACUAAACAAGGGAAGUACUGCGGAGACAUUUCAUUCGGAGUGGGAAAUGGUAGAACACUAUGGUAGCAGAACAUAAUUUUGAUAUGCGAAGUUACAAGGAAGGAGUUACAGUAUGACCCAGUGCCUCCACCCCUAGGUAUACACCCAAGGGAAAUGGAAACCUGUGUCCAUGUAAAACAUGUACACAAAUACUCACAGCAACAUUAUUCAUAACAGCCAGAAAGUAGAAACCCAAAAGUCCACCAGCUGAUGAAGAGGUGAAUUAAAUGUGUUAUAGCCAAGUAAUUGAAUAUUAUUUGGCAAAAACAAGGAAAGGAAUGUCUAAUUCAUGCUAUUCCACAGAUGAAACUUGAAAAUGAACUAAGUGAAAAAGACCACAUUUUCAUUUGUUUCCUUUAAACAAAAUGCCCAGAAUAGGCAUGUCUAUAGAGAUGGAAAGUAGAUUGCCUAGAGUUGAGGGAAGAUGAAGAAUGACUGCUACUGCAGUUUCAUUUUGAGGGUGACAAAAUGUUUUAAAAUCAACUGUGGUGAUGUUUGCACAACGCAAUAUACUAAACACCACUGAACUGUAUACUUUAAAGAGGGUGACUUUUAUGUUAUGUGAAUUAUGUCUCAAUAAUGCUGUUAUUUUUUUAAAAGGUAAGGGGAGGUAUUUCCUAAUAGCCUGGUGGUUAGAAGCGCUUCCACUGCUGUGGUUUGGGUUUGAUCCCUGGUCCAACAACUAAGAUCCCAUAUCAAGCCAUUAGAGGCCAUAGCCGAAAAUUUUAAAAAUAAAUUUAAAAACAUAAAAAGGCUAAAGGAGAUUUCAGGUAGAAACCAUAGCAGGGAAGAGAACAAAAAGACAAUCCACAGAAUGGAAAAAAAUACUUGCAAAUGAGGCAACCGACAAGGGAUUAAUCUCCAAAAUAAACAAGCUUAUAUUGGUAAAUAUCAAAAAACCAAACAACCCAAUCAAAAACUGGACAGAUCUAAAUAGAUAUUUCUCCAAAGACAUACAGAUGGCCAAAAGGCACAUGUAAAGAUGCUCAACAUCACUAAUAAUUAGAAAAAUGCAAAUCAAAACUACAAUAAGGUACCAUGUUACACCAGGCAGAAUGGCAUCAACACAAAGUCUACAUAAAUUCUGGAAAGGGUACAAAUAAAAGGGAACCCUCUUACACUGUUGGUGGGAAUGUAAAUUGGUACAACCACUAUGGAAAACAAUGUGGAGAUGCCUCAAAAAAUUAAAAAUAGAACUACCAUAUGAUCUCACUCCUGGGCAUCUAUCCAGAGAAAACCAUAAUUUGAAAAGAUAUAUAUACCCCAAUGUUCACUGCGGCACUAUUUAGAAUAGCCAAGACAUGGAAACAAUCUAAAUGUCCAUCUACAGAAGAAUGGAUAAAGAAGAUGUGGUAGAUAUAUACAGUGGAGUAUUACUCUGCCAUAAACAAGAAUGAAACAAUGCCAUUUGCAACUACAUGAAUGGAACUAGAAAUUAUCAUACUAAGUGCAGUUAGUCAGACAAUGAAAGACUAACAUCAUAUGAUGUCACUUAUAUGUAGAAUUUAAAAAAGGAUGCAAAUGAACUUAUUUGCAGAACACAAACAGACUCAAUAGACUUUGAAAAUAAACUUAUGGUUACCAAAGGGGACAGGUAGGGAGGGGAGGGAUGGACUGGGGUUUUGGAAUUGGCACAUGCACACUGAGGUAUAUGGAAUGAUUGACCACCCCGGACCUGCUAUACACCACAGAGAAUUCUACCCAUAUUCUGUGAUAGUCUACGUGGUAAAAGAAUCUGAAAGACAACUGGUGUACACGUAUAACUGAAUCAUUUUGCUGCAUAGCAGAAAUUAUCAUAACAUUGUAUAUCAACUAUUCUUUAACAAAAUUUUUUAAAAUGAAAAAAGAGAAAAAAAAAAAAAAAAGAAACCAUAGCAGAGAGCCAUAGAAAUGAAAGCCUAUCCAGGUAAUCUUGAGCAGAUCUGUGAGGCUAUGGCUUAUUCAGGUAAUGCUGAACACAGGAUGGGGAACAGGAGCCCUGUGGAACCCAUUUCAGACUUCUGGUCUCCUGUUAGAAUGUAAAUGUGUAUUGUUUUUAGCCACCAAUUUUGUGGUAACUGAUUACAGCAGCCAUAGGAAACUAAUACAGGUCCCAAUCAAUCUGAUUCCUCAAGAGCCACACAUAUUUGAGAGACCUAUACCUUCUAUAACAGCAUCACACUCCUGGCACUCACUAUCAAACCCACCUGGAGGUAGUCUCUGACGCCCGCUUUUCCCUAAAUCCUCACAUCCAACUAAUUGCUAACUCCUCUUGGUUCUCUCCUCUCCCACUAUUCAGGCCGCUCAGAUUUCUGAUCUUUCAAAUACAGCAUUUUCUGAAUCAAAUAAUGCCGUUUGAAGCAACAUGGAAGGCUCUAGAGAUUACCAUACUAAGUCAAGUAAGUCAGACAGAAAAAGACAAACAUUAUAUGAUAUCAUUUAUAUGUGGUAUCUUAAAAAACAGAUAAAGAUAUAGUAUUAUCCUGCUCCAACCCAUUCUAAACACAAUGUUUCAAAAUGAAGGUUGUGUCACAUCCCAGCCUAAAAAACAAAAACCUCUUUGUCACCUUUGUAGGUUGCUGGGGCUCUAACCCAUUCUAAAAAUUCAUAAACAUUUUAUCCCAUCUUUCCCAUUCAGCUUUAGAGAAGUUUAUCUUUACAGAAGAAUCACAGAUAAUAAAUGCAAAAGGUUUGAUAGAAUCUCCAAAUCACUAUUUUGCAAAUCCUAAUGAAAUAAUAGAUCCAGGCAAUAAUCAUCAAUGGCUGCUAACAACAUUAUGUGAAAGACUGAUAAGGAAGAUUGAUGGUAGAUGGCACCGAAAAUCACUGACCAAACUUAAGAUCACUGAAAGUGGAACAACUAUAUAUCAUGUGCCUCCUGGAGUGAUGCAAAAGAAAGUACACAGCAUCACCUAUGGAGUAUUCCUGGAAAAAAAUUUCAGACAAGUUUCUAGAUCUAACUAGACACCAUGGGGAUACCAUCAGCCGGAUCUUGAAUGGAGGAAAUUCUAUAGAAUAUAUGAUUUAGUUAUUUCCUCAUAUAAAUAGCAAGAGGAAAGAAAUUAAAAACAGGGUGAAUGUUAUAUAGAGUUUUUAAAAGAGACAUACUAACUAAAUGUAAUGUUGGAUCCUGACUUAACCUGGAGGAAGAUAUUUUUGAGAUAGGAAAAUUGAAUACAGGCUGAUUAUGACAUGAUUAUUAAGGAAAUCUUAUUAAUUUUGUUGAGUGGCAAUGAUAGUGUGGCUUGAUUAAAAUUAUGAAGACCUUAUCUGUUAAAAAUCAAUUUUUAAGUAUUUACAAGUGAAAUGAUACAAUGUCUAAGAUUUACUUUAAAAUCCUUCAGCAAAGACAUUUUUAAAAAGGAAGGGAUAGGAGUUCCCGCUAUGUGCAAUGGGAUUGGCAGUGUCUUGGGAGUGCUGGGACGCAGGUUCAAGCCCUGGCCCGGCACAGUGGGUUAAAGAUCCAGUGUUGCCUCAGCUGUGGCUUACAUUUCAACUGCAGCUCAGAUCUGAUCCCUGGCCCAGGGAACUCCAUAUGCCUUAGGGCGGCCAAAAAUUGGAAAAAAAAAAAAAAAAAAAAAAAAAGGAAGGGGUAAAUAGAACAAGGCAGGAUAUUGAUAAUUGUUGAAGCUGGGUAAUGGGUACAUGGAGUUUCCCUAUUCUAGUCUCUGGUUUAUAUGUUUUAACAUAAAAACUUAUAAAACUAAAUGAAUAACAUUGAAAUUGUUCUAUAUUCCAUAAUGAAAAGUUUACAU